rnacentral:rRNA from 1 species
UCCUGGGCCGCCCUGAACAAGCCCAAUGUCUGAUCUCAAGAGCUAAGCAGGGUCGGGCCUGGUUAGUACUUGGAUGAGAGAUCACCUAGGAAGACCAGGUGCUGUAGGCA